GAUGAACGCUGGCGGCGUGCUUAACACAUGCCAGUCGAACGAUGAAGCCCAGCUUGCUGGGUGGAUUAGUGGCGAACGGGUGAGUAACACGUGAGUAACCUGCCCUUAACUCUGGGAUAAGCCUGGGAAACUGGGUCUAAUACCGGAUAGGAGCGUCCACCGCAUGGUGGGUGUUGGAGAGAUUUGGCGGUUUUGGAUGGACUCGCGGCUUAUCAGCUUGUUGGUGUGGUAAUGGCUCACCAAGGCGACGACGGGUAGCCGGCCUGAGAGGGUGACCGGCCACACUGGGACUGAGACACGGCCCAGACUCCUACGGGAGGCAGCAGUGGGGAAUAUUGCACAAUGGGCGCAAGCCUGAUGCAGCGACGCCGCGUGAGGGAUGACGGCCUUCGGGUUGUAAACCGCUUUCAGUAGGGAAGAAGCGAAAGUGACGGUACCUGCAGAAGAAGCACCGGCUAACUACGUG
rnacentral:rRNA from 1 species